rnacentral:rRNA from 1 species
AUGAAGGAUUUAGGAGUGGCUGAUGUCAUUCUGAACAUCAAGUUGUUGAGAGACGAUGAUGGUGGGAUUACAUUGCUUCAAUCUCACUAUGUGGAAAAGAUCUUGAGUCACUUUGGCUAUAGUGACUGCAAGCCCUCUCCAACACCAUAUGAUGCUAGCGUGCUGCUUCGAAACAAUCGAAGAAUUGCUAAAGAUCAAUUGAAGUAUUCUCAGAUUAUUGGCUCGCUUAUGUACUUAGCCAGUGCUACAAGACCUGACAUCUCUUUUGCUGUUAGCAAACUGAGUCGGUUUGUUUCAAAACCAGGAGAUGUGCAUUGGAAAGCUCUAGAGAGAGUUUUGCGUCAUUUGAAAGGCACUGCGAAUUAUGGAAUUCACUACACUUGGCACCCAAAGGUGCUUGAAGGGUAUAGUGACUCAUACUGGAUCUCAGAUGCUGAUGAGAUAAAGGCCACAAGCGGUUAUGUAUUCACUCAUGGAGGUGGCGCUAUUUCUUGGAAGUCUUGCAAGCAUACCAUCUUAACGAGGUCAACAAUAGAAGCAGAACUCACAGCACUAGAUACAACUAUGGUUGAAGCAGAUUGGCUUCGUCGGCUUUUGAAUGACUUGCCGGUUGUUGAGAAACCUGUACCGGGUGUCCUUAUGAACUGCGACAAUCAAACUGUGAUCACGAAAGUGAGCAGCUCAAAGGAUAACAUGAAGUCAUCCAGACACGUUCAGAGAAGGUUAAAGUCUGUCAGAAAAAUGAAAAACUCCGGAGUUAUUGCAUUGGAUUAUAUCCAAACGUCUAAAAACCUAGCAGAUCCUUUUACUAAGGGUCUAUCACGUAAUGUGAUAGAUAAUGCAUCGAGGGAGAUGGGUAUGAGACCCACAAUAUGA